GCACUUCGGGAUAAGCUUGGGAAACUGGGUCUAAUACCGGAUAGGACUACGGCCUGCAUGGGUUGUGGUGGAAAGCUUUUGCGGUGUGGGAUGGGCCCGCGGCCUAUCAGCUUGUUGGUGGGGUGAUGGCCUACCAAGGCGACGACGGGUAGCCGGCCUGAGAGGGUGUCCGGCCACACUGGGACUGAGAUACGGCCCAGACUCCUACGGGAGGCAGCAGUGGGGAAUAUUGCACAAUGGGCGCAAGCCUGAUGCAGCGACGCCGCGUGGGGGAUGACGGCCUUCGGGUUGUAAACCUCUUUCACCAUCGGCGAAGCCGGGAGCUUUUGUUUUCGGUGACGGUAGGUGGAGAAGAAGCACCGGCCAACUACGUGCCAGCAGCCGCGGUAAUACGUAGGGUGCGAGCGUUGUCCGGAAUUACUGGGCGUAAAGAGCUCGUAGGUGGUUUGUCGCGUUGUUCGUGAAAACUCACGGCUUAACUGUGAGCGUGCGGGCGAUACGGGCAGACUGGAGUACUGCAGGGGAGACUGGAAUUCCUGGUGUAGCGGUGGAAUGCGCAGAUAUCAGGAGGAAUACCGGUGGCGAAGGCGGGUCUCUGGGCAGUAACUGACGCUGAGGAGCGAAAGCGUGGGGAGCGAACAGGAUUAGAUACCCUGGUAGUCCACGCCGUAAACGGUGGGUACUAGGUGUGGGUUUCCUU
rnacentral:rRNA from 1 species